rnacentral:tRNA from 1 species
ACAAGUGACUUCCAAUCAUUUAGCCUUGGUUAAAAUCCAAGGAAAGGUA